GUAGCACUUUCUCCGUCCAACAAAAAAUGUCUCAGAUUUCAUAAAAUUUAAAUGAAUCUAGACAUGACUUAGCUAAUGUAUAGAUGCAUUCAAAUUUAGUCAAAGUUAAAAUAUUUUUUUGUUGGACGGAGAAAUUAUAUU
rnacentral:pre_miRNA from 1 species